UGGGGAAUAUUGGACAAUGGACCAAAAGUCUGAUCCAGCAAUUCUGUGUGCACGAUGAAGGUCUUCGGAUUGUAAAGUGCUUUCAGUUGGGAAGAAGAAAGUGACGGUACCAACAGAAGAAGCGACGGCUAAAUACGUGCCAGCAGCCGCGGUAAUACGUAUGUCGCAAGCGUUAUCCGGAUUUAUUGGGCGUAAAGCGCGUCUAGGCGGAAAAGAAAGUCUGAUGUGAAAAUGCGGGGCUCAACUCCGUAUUGCGUUGGAAACUGCUUUUCUAGAGUACUGGAGAGGUGGGCGGAACUACAAGUGUAGAGGUGAAAUUCGUAGAUAUUUGUAGGAAUGCCGAUGGAGAAGUCAGCUCACUGGACAGAUACUGACGCUGAAGCGCGAAAGCGUGGGGAGCAAAC
rnacentral:rRNA from 1 species